AAAAACAUGUCUUUUUGGUUAUUUAAUAUAAAGUCUAGCCUGCCCACUGAAUUUAAUUUUGAAGGGCCGCAGUAUUUUGACUGUGCAAAGGUAGCAUAAUCAUUAGUCUUUUAAUUGGAGGCUGGUAUGAAUGGUUGGAUGAGGUACAAGCUGUGUCAUAAAAAUUAACAUUUGAAUUUAACUUUUUAGUCAAAAGGCUAAAAUUAAAUUAAAAGACGAGAAGACCCUAUAGAGCUUUAUAUAAUAAUUAUUUAAUUUAUUAAGAUUUAUUAAAUUUAAUUAUUUGAUUAUAUUUUGUUGGGGUGACAGUAAAAUUUAAAAAACUUUUAUUAUUAAUUUACAUUUAUUUAUGAUUAAAUGAUCCAGUUUUAUUGAUUAUAAAUUUAAGUUACCUUAGGGAUAACAGCGUAAUUUUUUUUGAGAGUUCUUAUCGACAAAAAAGAUUGCGACCUCGAUGUUGGAUUAAGAGUAAUUUUGGGUGUAGAAGUUCAAAGUUUAAGUCUGUUCGACUUUUAAAUUCUUACAUGAUCUGAGU
rnacentral:rRNA from 1 species